rnacentral:sRNA from 1 species
AAGCCAGUGUUCCAUGUGGCCAUGUUGGGAAGCUUUUCAGUAUUUUAACAGACUUGAUGACCUACAGAAAGGUUAACUUUUGAUUGUGUUAUAUUUAAUAUACAAUCAAGUGUACUUUACAGGAUUUGGAGGAUUUGGAGAUGAUAGAGCCAGUAAAAGAAAUAUAGAUCUCUGAGUGACACAAAGGAAUAUGAGACAUACAAGAAAGAAACCUCGUGUUCAACAUAGAAAUGGAAGAAAUGGAAAUGUUUAAUUACUCUUGAAGAAAUAAAACACGAACCUGUG